GCCCUCCGGGAGCGGCCGCCGAGCCCCGGGCCACGCCGGCAUCGGGCCCGCCGUGUCGGUCAGCCGCGGCUCCGCCGGGAAUUCGCUCGGCACGCAGCGGGAUCAGCCCCGAGAUCGCCCAGGCCACGGCGGGGACCGCGCCGGAAUCGGCCGCGGUGCCACCGGGAUCCCAGCGGGAUCAGCCGCGGCACCGCCGGGACUUUCUUGGGAGCAUCCUGGGAGCGGUGCAGGGAUGGCACGGCGGAAUCAGCCUGGGUGUCACUGGGAUCCCAGCGGGAUCAGCCGCGGGACUGCCGGCAUCUCCUCCGGGUCAGCCGCAGCACCGGCAGGAUCUCCCCGGGAUCGCGCCUGGGUCACGGCCAGCACCAGCCACGGGAUCCCUCGGAUCUCCCCGGGAUCACCAGGACCGCACCAGCCUCACCCUGCGAUCGCCACUGCAGGUUCAGCCACACUAUUCCCGCGAUCUCAGUGGGAUUUCCCUGCAGGAUCUCCUUGGGAUCACUCCUGGGAUCCUCAGGAAUCACCGGGAGCAGAUGGGAGAUCACCGGGGCCGCAGCCGGAUCAGCUGCAGGCCUGCCGGGAUCACCGGGGCUACACCUGGAUCGCUCAGGGAACAGGGCAGGAUCUUCCCGGGAUCUCUCAGCAUCUCGCUGGGAUCACCCCCAGGACCACACCAGGAUCACACCCUGAGAUCACACCCGGACACCAGCACCCCUUGGCACCAAAUCCCUGGGGCAGUUCCAGGCCCCAUUUGCCCUAAAAAUCACUAAAACCCCUCUUUUUUCCUUUCACAGGUCAUUUCCCCAUCUUCUCAAUCCGUGGGAGAGCUCCUCCAUGGAAUGGUGCUGGAGCACUUCAGGAGACCCAGCUGCUUCUGGGAUGUUUGUUCACAUGGAAUCUUCCAAACCACAUUUACAGCUUCCAAGACUGAGAUUUCUGGGAUUUCCCCAGAUUUGGGAGCACGGUGUGGGCAGGAGGGACCCACAGGGAUGAAGCGGGAAGCAGAGGAGGGCUGGGUAUAAGGAAGGACAAAGAAAGGUUUGGUUCCAAUCCCCUGGAAGUGUUUUCUUGGGAAAUCCAGCCUGGCCUGAAUUCCCAGCAGCUUUUUCAGCCUCUGGAAUUGGAUGAUUUCAAGGAAAAGGUGUUUUCUGGGAUGUUCUCCAGCGCCCUUCCAGGGCCCAGGUGCUGUUAUAGGAACAGAGGGAAGCUCCAACAAAUUCCAGCAAACCGAGCACCGCGAGCACCGCGGGUUCAUUCUCUUUCCCAAUUUUCCAUGGAAAAUCUGGGAUGCCCAAAUGGGAGCUGCUCCCACCGUGGCUGGUGCUGGUUUUGGCAGCGGGAGGUUCCCCAGGACGCUGGAGCACAGGGCGUUGACUUUGGGGUUUUCAGCUUCCCAAACCAUCUGGAGGGAGCUGGAGGGGCUCAUCCUGGAGCAGAGGUGACUCAGGGGGAACCUCCUGGCUCCCUGCAAUUCCCUGGAAGAAGGUUGGAGUCAGGAGAGGUUGGGCUCUGCUGACAGGAUGACAGGGAAGGGCCUCAAGGGGAGGUUUGGGUGGGAUUUUGGGAAUAUUCCCCCUGGGAAGGGCUCUCCAGGCCUGGCCCAGCUGCCCAGGGCAGGGGUGGAGUCCCCAUUGCUGGAGGGAUUUCAGAACCCUGUGGAUGUGACACCUGGGGACACGGUCAGGGGUGGCUUUGGCAAUGCUGGGGGAUGGUGGGACUUGUUCUUGGAGGGCUUUUCCAACCAAAACCAUUCCGUGAUUCCCCAGAAAUGAAUCUUUGUUUCAUUCCCUUCUCCAGGCAGAUCCAACAGGCCAAGCCAUGACUUUGUUGCUCCGAUGGGAACAAGCCCAGGAGAGCUUCAGCUGCAGCACCAGGAAAGAGGGAAUCAGGAGCAGCCUGGCUUGUCCACAGCAACCCCUGUGCCGUGACCCUGCCUUUUCCAGAGGCUCAGGAAAACCACUGGUGCUGUUGGACCUCCCUGGCUCCCGGCCUGUCCAAACAUCAGCAUCGAUCCCCAAAAACUCCCUGCCUGCCCAAAGCAGCCGGGACCAGUCCGGGUUUCCUGCGCAUUUUCCGGAGAGCUGCCAUGGACCUGUUGAAGGUUUGCUGGGAACAGGGAACACAAAGGGAUCACUCAGCUCAGCUCAGCUCUCAGAGAACACUCCUCACCUGUAAAAGCUUCUUUCCUGAAAAAUAAAAACUAAAUUCCUUCCCAAA